UAGGGAAUCUUCGGCAAUGGGGGCAACCCUGACCGAGCAACGCCGCGUGAGUGAAGAAGGUUUUCGGAUCGUAAAGCUCUGUUGUAAGUCAAGAACGAGUGUGAGAGUGGAAAGUUCACACUGUGACGGUAGCUUACCAGAAAGGGACGGCUAACUACGUGCCAGCAGCCGCGGUAAUACGUAGGUCCCGAGCGUUGUCCGGAUUUAUUGGGCGUAAAGCGAGCGCAGGCGGUUUGAUAAGUCUGAAGUUAAAGGCUGUGGCUCAACCAUAGUUCGCUUUGGAAACUGUCAAACUUGAGUGCAGAAGGGGAGAGUGGAAUUCCAUGUGUAGCGGUGAAAUGCGUAGAUAUAUGGAGGAACACCGGUGGCGAAAGCGGCUCUCUGGUCUGUAACUGACGCUGAGGCUCGAAAGCGUGGGGAGCGAACAGGANUAGAUACCCUGGUAGUCCACGCCGUNNCGAUGAGUGCUAGGUGNUGNAUCCUUUCCGGGANUCANUGNCNCAGCUAACNCNNUANCACUCCNCCNGGGGAGUACNANCNCAAGGUUG
rnacentral:rRNA from 1 species